rnacentral:rRNA from 1 species
UACGGAGGGUGCAAGCGUUAUCCGGAUUCACUGGGUUUAAAGGGUGCGUAGGAGGGCAGGUAAGUCAGUGGUGAAAUCUUCGAGCUUAACUCGGAAACUGCCGUUGAUACUAUCUGUCUUGAAUACCGUGGAGGUGAGCGGAAUAUGUCAUGUAGCGGUGAAAUGCUUAGAUAUGACAUAGAACACCAAUUGCGAAGGCAGCUCGCUACACGAAUAUUGACUCUGAGGCACGAAAGCGUGGGGAUCAAACGGG